CCACCGUUUCUCAGGUUACAGCCGUGACGUUCUUCCGAGUCUGUGAUGACGUGCACGCCAUUGUGGCGGCACUCCCUAGCCUGUGACGUAAGACAGGUGAGCGGAUCGCCGGCGCUGGCGGUGAGGAGCCCGCCCGCACCCCCGGGACUCCCUGGCCCAGUUCCUCCGAUAGAAUGGCCUGCUCCCGCCUGCGGGGAAGCCUUCUCCAUGCCGGUGGAGAUGACCCGCCACAGAGAGACUUCGACCGUCCGCGUGGACACGUCGUCCCACCGCACAGAGACAACCUGCUGGUAGGUGCGAACCUCCUCCCGCCAGGUGGAGACGUCCCAGCAUCAUGGCAGCGAAGGCCCCUUCCUCGCCGCCUGCAGGUGUCUUCGCAGCAGGUGGAGGCGGCCUCCCACCGCGCCCGGGCCCCGAACUUGCGGGUGGAGACAGCGCUGCACCGCGUAGAGAGCUCGGCCCUGCGCGACGGGAAGGCGGCCCGCUGACACGCUUCCGCGAGGCGUCGAAAGAAAGGGCCCUCGGGGAGUCGGGCGGCAGCGCAGCCGGUUAAGCGCACGUGGCGCAAAGCACAAGGACCGGCGUAAGGAUCCCGGUUCGAGCCCCCGGCUCCCCACUUGCAGGGGAGUCGCUUCACAGGCGGUGAAGCAGGUCUGCAGGUGUCUCUCUCUCUCUCCGCCUCUCUUCCCCUCUUCAUUUCUCUCUGUCCUAUCCAACAACGACGACAUCAACAGCAAAAGGGAAUAAAUAAAUAAAAACUUUGAUGCGUGAAAGCCCUGCCUGCAUGCUUUUCAAGUUAGGUCACAUGUUACCACGAAAACUGAAGAUGGAGAAACAGUAACAGAAAAGAGACACCAUAGAUGACACUGUGCUGCUUUGUCUGUGCACAUGGAAAGUCAGACAACCUAGCAGUCUCCAGGCACUCAGCACUCCGUGGCAUGGCAAGGACAGAAGAGGUCUGGUGCAUUGUCCACUUCCAGUGUCACUGAAGGUUCCUGGGCACUUGGGAAGAUUUUGGAGAGAAGUUAGAAAGGCAUCUGACCUUCAAGGAAGUAAAUCUGUACAGAUGCACAUGGCAAACCCCCCAUGUCGGCAGCUUCUUUCAUUGCAGCCACCAAGUUGAAGAUGCUACUGCAGCAAUUACAGAAGACAGACCUUCCACCUUCUGCAUCCCAUAAAGAAUUUUGGUCCAUACUUAUAGAUGGGUAAAUAUUAGGGGAAGAUGACCAGAGGGCUCUGAACUCCAGUUCUAUCAGGACCUGAAGAGAGAAGAGGAAAAAAAAAAAAAAACCAACUACCUGUGAAAGCUGAUAAAUUAGAAAACUAUUACCUUGACAGUAAUAAAAGAUUUAUUUGCAAAUUUAAGAAAAGAAAGAGAAGGCAGGACCAUAGGAGAAAAUGGGCAAAUAUAUAUAUAAAUAUAGACCAAUAGUUAUUGAAAUAUUAGUCAGUUCAUAUCUGUGAUCUUGGAAGAACUACUGCAGUUUCCAGUGGAGGGAAUGAGGACACAGGACUCUGGUGGUGGGAAAGGUGUAAAAUUAGACCCCAUUAGAUUAAAAUUUUGUAAAACAAUUUAAAGAAUGUGUCAAGCAGAUAUACAAUAAAAACUUGCUAUUAUCCAAAUGUUAUGCUUCAGUUUUCAAGUGUAUAAAACAGUACACUAAAGUUAAUAUUUUUAAGUC